GUGAGGUCUGAUGAACCUGAUGUAAGGCAUCUACACACUAACUGCAACUGAAGAACUAAAAUUAGCUGUAAAAGGAAGGGAGAGGAGAAGUUGGUGAAAGAAUCUAGCAGGUACUCCUUGAAUUUUUAAAAUUGAGUUUCCUAAAACAUUCAGGAAAAAGGAAAUGCAUGGAGCUGAAAUCUAACUACAGGUGUUUGCUUUACUUCUCCAGAUCUGUGCAAAUCACAACUUCAAGUUCUACAGGCUUCAAUGCAAGAGACAAGCUGCGUCAGGAAGAAAACCUGGGUCGGUUCCAUUCCACAGCAUGACUUUGGAUUGCUUUAAGUGAUGUCUAUGCAUACUGCUAGAGGCUCUCAAGAAUCCAAGCUCUGUCCUGCUCCCUGGCAAUCAGAAGUGUUCCUGGCCUUGGUUCCCAGUGACGAGUUUUCAGUUACGACUUUAGAUUAAAUGUGUGAUCCUUCUGCAGUAACUACAUACCUGAAAAUGUUAUCGAGACUAUAAAAUGAAAUAUUAGAGCAACAGAAAAAAAGAGAGAUGUAUUUUAUUUCAAUGAAUCUUUUAAUUGGGUAUUUGUCUAGAUAUGUGAUUUAUCAGGGAAACUAGAAUUUUUCAAGUAUUAAGUGUUAUUUCCCAUUUUAUUCUUUGGGCAGGGGAAUGAACUGAAUUUGGCAAACUCUACCUUGUUGCUAAAUCUCUUGCUUCUGCUUCCUGAAGUACUAUUCAGUUCUCAUCUUCCCUUUCAAAAAUACAUCUGAUGCUCACUUUAACCAUUAUUCUGCUCCCUGCUGCCAUCUGAGAUGGCAAAACAUAUUUUCUUGUUAAUCUUCAUGUAUGCCCUCUCAAAAGUGAGGGCAUGUGAUGCCUGCGAAACCUUUCUAGAUUUAUAAUGAGUAUUUCUGGGUCUUCCACUGCUCCAACUCCCUGCAUUCUGAAUUUCCAAAACUGUGUUGGCAUUCGUACUGUAACAAAGACUUUGAAGGCUAUUAUAUGCAGGCAAGUUUUUUCAAAACAACAGGUUAAUUUCAAGGCUCAGCCUGAGACAUCUUAAAAGAUCCUAUUUUCAAAGCAGACUUCUUGUGUGUCCGGUGAAAAUUCAUGCAUUUUCACCUAAACAUCUUAGAAUUACCAGCUGGUUUUUAAAUUGCUUACAUUAAAUUGUCUACAAAAAAGUAGGUCUUACAUUUGUAAGAUCUACAAAUUAUGAGCUCCCAGUUUCAGGAAUGGGUUGUAUACGUAGCAUAAAGUAACCAGAGAAUGAUUUUUCAGUGUAAUAAACUAUGUGGAAGGUGAAAGAGAAUGGAGGAUUAUGGAUUUUUUUUUUUUUAAAGAAACAGAGAUGAAGAGGCAUAAAACUGUGUACCUAGCUGAAGGAGGAAAAGGUUGGCAUGGGACCUUUGUGAGGGCAUUCAUUUUGCAUGUUUAUACUGCUGUUGAGAGAAAUGAGACUUUGAGUAUGUGUCUGUAAAUAAAUGAAUUACUCUGAGAAUAA